UACGAAGGGGGCUAGCGUUGCUCGGAAUUACUGGGCGUAAAGGGCGCGUAGGCGGACAGUUUAGUCAGAGGUGAAAGCCCAGGGCUCAACCUUGGAAUAGCCUUUGAUACUGACUGUCUUGAGUUCGGGAGAGGUGAGUGGAAUGCCGAGUGUAGAGGUGAAAUUCGUAGAUAUUCGGCGGAACACCAGUGGCGAAGGCGACUCUCUGGGCUGUAACUGACGCUGAGGCGCGAAAGCGUGGGGAGCGAACAGG
rnacentral:rRNA from 1 species